AUUGAACGCUGGCGGCAUGCUUUACACAUGCAAGUCGAACGGUAACAGGGUGCUUGCACCGCUGACGAGUGGCGAACGGGUGAGUAAUGCGUCGGAACGUGCCGAGUAGUGGGGGAUAACGCAGCGAAAGUUGUGCUAAUACCGCAUACGUACUGAGGUAGAAAGUGGGGGACCUUCGGGCCUCACGCUAUUCGAGCGGCCGACGUCUGAUUAGCUAGUAGGUGAGGUAAAGGCUCACCUAGGCGACGAUCAGUAGCGGGUCUGAGAGGAUGAUCCGCCACACUGGGAGUGAGACACGGCCCAGACUCCUACGGGAGGCAGCAGUGGGGAAUUUUGGACAAUGGGCGCAAGCCUGAUCCAGCCAUGCCGCGUGUGUGAAGAAGGCCUUCGGGUUGUAAAGCACUUUCGGACGGAACGAAAUCGCGCGGGUGAACAAUCCGCGUGGAUGACGGUACCGCAAGAAGAAGCGCCGGCUAACUACGUGCCAGCCGCCGCCGUAA
rnacentral:rRNA from 1 species